ensembl:lncRNA novel transcript
UGCAAGAUGUGGGGAAAAAGCAAAUUCACGGAGUCCUCUCUGCAAAUGCUGCGGGGCUGGUGCCUCCGACAAGGCAGAUGGAUGACCCGCAAUUACCCGCCCGGAUCCCCCAGCCUCACCCCGCUCCCUCCCGCCUGGUCUCCAAGCAAUUUCAGACUUUUUGUACAUCCAGAGCAGAGAUUGUGUACGAUUUCUCUCGCCGGCAGAAGCGGCUUUCAGGGGUUGCUAACUGCAGGAUGGGCACCUGGACUACUGGGGCCAUCCCUCUCCUCCUUGCGGAGGGCCUUCUGAGAAUGAAGUCACAUAGAAGCCAGAAGAGCCCAGAGAUGGAGACCAAGCACCCAUGACACUGUUGGAAUCCCGGGAACCACCCAGGCCCGGUCCAGCAGCACCAUCUCUGGACUUUAAACUGAUGUCAGACAAUUCUCUUUCAGCUCAUGCCAAUUUUAAUUGGGUUUCUGUUAUUACUUGCAACCAAAGAUUCCUGACUGAUUCAGAGGAUUUCGUUAGGAGAGUUAGAGCUUGAGCUUCCGAGAAGGAUCUGAAUCAAUGAUUAGGGAGGGACAAGAGUGUGUAUU